rnacentral:lncRNA from 1 species
UUCAUGGAUACGCGGGUCGGUAUAAAAAGAUUGACUUGGUCCAGUUUUGACAGACUUCGACUUUAAUCAAGCUCCAAGUCACACUUCAACAGUUAGCAGACCGACGACAGUUCUUUUUCCGCCAAGAUGAUGAAGCUGAUUCUACUCGCUUCUCUCGUGGCCGUGACAGCCGCCAAUUAUUGGGACUCUGGGAGUAAAAGGACUCACUAUGGAUAUCAACCCGGCGGAUACGGAAAUAGCUACAGCAGCUACAUGAAUUAUGACCAAGGGUACGGAUAUGGAGGCUAUGGAUACAAAGGUGCUGGAUACGGAAAGCCUCAAUACGGAGGAAAGAAGGGACCAUAUACCCCAUGGCGAUAUUAGUGAAACUGAUGCUGCAGAUAACCUUUAUUCUACAGUGUGCACAGCCGGAUAUGACGACAUCAACCACGUGACCCAUACCAAACAGAUCCUUGCUCAUAUCAUUCUAAAUAUCUUUACUGCUUUUGCCCAUAAAUAGACCGGUGCAAUUUGGAAACAUAUUCUGUAUUACAU